GGUUAUGAUUUGCUCGGAGGGGUAGGUGGGGGAGGUGUUAUGGCUCAAACCGUUUAGGAAUUAGAGGCAAAAAAAGAGGGAAAAACAAGGGUUUCUUGGUUAAUGGUCAAUUAAGACAAUUUGAAACCAGUGUAAGGAAGGUAAUCCAAAUAUAUUAAGGUAAUCCAGACAUGUUUGAUUACCUCCCUUACACUGCUUUAAAAUUAUGUGUAAAGAUUUUUUUUUUCCAUAUCAGAUUUCAGAAAUUAAAAAGAAAAAAAGUGGGGGAUACAUUUUUCUUUUCUUGAGGUUGGGGUCAGUAUGCAACAGCAUAGUAUAUUGCACAAAACAACAAAAAAAGGAGGGUAUUUUUUUAAUUUUUGGAGGGGGUGGGGCAAUUCGCAACAGCGUAGUGCAAAAGCAAAAAAAUAAGUAUAAAUUCAAAUUAUAUAACCAAUUUUUAGUUCUUUGACUACAGUUAUUCUGUGUCAGAAACCUAUUAUGUGUCAAAUAUUUAAUUACAUUCCAAAUUCAGACCUGAAUCAAGCGUGAAUAGUGUGUCCAUUUUUGUCCGAACGGUUCAGGGUUGGACCUCUGCGGUCG
rnacentral:lncRNA from 1 species